rnacentral:rRNA from 1 species
GAUGAACGCUGGCGGCGUGCUUAACACAUGCAAGUCGAACGGAAAGGCCGAAGCUUGCUUCGGUACUCGAGUGGCGAACGGGUGAGUAACACGUGGGUGAUCUGCCCUGUACUUCGGGAUAAGCUUGGGAAACUGGGUCUAAUACCGGAUAUGACGAUCUCUUGGAUGGGGUUGUGGAAAGCUUUUGCGGUAUGGGAUGAGCUCGCGGCCUAUCAGCUUGUUGGUGGGGUAAUGGCCUACCAAGGCGUCGACGGGUAGCCGGCCUGAGAGGGUGUACGGCCACAUUGGGACUGAGAUACGGCCCAGACUCCUACGGGAGGCAGCAAUGGGGAAUAUUGCACAAUGGGCGCAAGCCUGAUGCAGCGACGCCGCGUGGGGGAUGACGGCCUUCGGGUUGUAAACUCCUUUCGCAAUCGACGAAGCCUUUUGGUGACGGUAGGUGGAGAAGAAGCACCGGCUAACUACGUG